AUUGAACGCUGGCGGCAUGCUUUACACAUGCAAGUCGAACGGCAGCGCGGGGGCAACCCUGGCGGCGAGUGGCGAACGGGUGAGUAAUGCAUCGGAACGUAUCCUGUAAUGGGGGGAUAACGUAGCGAAAGUUACGCUAAUACCGCAUACGCUCGAGAGAGGAAAGUGGGGGAUCGCAAGACCUCACGUUAUAGGAGCGGCCGAUGUCCGAUUAGCUAGUUGGUGGGGUAAAGGCCUACCAAGGCGACGAUCGGUAGCUGGUCUGAGAGGAUGAUCAGCCACACUGGGACUGAGACACGGCCCAGACUCCUACGGGAGGCAGCAGUGGGGAAUUUUGGACAAUGGGCGAAAGCCUGAUCCAGCCAUGCCGCGUGCGGGGAA
rnacentral:rRNA from 1 species